rnacentral:rRNA from 1 species
AGAGUUUGAUCAUGGCUCAGAAUCAACGCUGGCGGCGUGCCUCAGACAUGCAAGUCGAACGAUUAAAGCUCUCUUCGGAGAGUGUAUAGAGUGGCGCACGGGUGAGUAACACGUAAGUAAUCUACCCUCGAGUGGGGAAUAACAACCGGAAACGGUUACUAAUACCGCAUAAUGCAGCGGCACCGCAAGGUGACAGUUGUUAAAGAUUUAUCGCUUGAGGAGGAGCUUGCGGCAGAUUAGCUAGUUGGUAGGGUAACGGCUUACCAAGGCUACGAUCUGUAACCGGUCUAAGAGGACGGUCGGUCACACUGACACUGAAUAACGGGUCAGACUCCUACGGGAGGCAGCAGUCGGGAAUUUUGGGCAAUGGGCGAAAGCCUGACCCAGCAACGCCGCGUGAAGGAUGAAGUAUUUCGGUAUGUAAACUUCGAAAGAAUAGGAAGAAUUAAUGACGGUACUAUUUAUAAGGUCCGGCUAACUACGUG